rnacentral:rRNA from 1 species
CCUACGGGGGGCAGCAGUGAGGAAUAUUGGUCAAUGGGCGUAAGCCUGAACCAGCCAAGUCGCGUGAGGGAUGAAGGUUCUAUGGAUCGUAAACCUCUUUUAUAAGGGAAUAAAGUGUGGGACGUGUCCUAUUUUGUAUGUACCUUAUGAAUAAGGAUCGGCAAACUCCGUGCCAGCAGCCGCGGUAAUACGGAGGAACCGAGCGUUAUCCGGAUUUAUUGGGUUUAAAGGGUGCGUAGGGGGCCAUUUAAGUCAGCGGUGAAAGUCUGUGGCUCAACCAUAGAAUUGCCGUUGAAACUGGGGGGCUUGAGUAUGUUUGAGGCAGGCGGAAUGCGUGGUGUAGCGGUGAAAUGCUUAGAUAUCACGCAGAACCCCGAUUGCGAAGGCAGCCUGCCAGGCCAUGACUGACGCUGAUGCACGAAAGCGUGGGGAUCAAACAGGAUUAGAUACCCCUGUAGUC